rnacentral:rRNA from 1 species
UACGGGGGGGGCGAGCGUUGUCCGAAUUUAUUGGGCGUAAAGCGCGUGUAGGCGGAUUAUCAAGCCUGGGGUGAAAGGUUGGGGCUCAACCCCAAGAGUGCCCUGGGGACUGGUAGUCUGGAGGCAGGCAGAGGAGAGUGGAAUUCCUGGUGUAGCGGUGGAAUGCGUAGAGAUCAGGAAGAACACCCAUGGCGAAGGCAGCUCUCUGGGCCUGUACUGACGCUGAGACGCGAAAGCGUGGGGAGCGAACGGG